rnacentral:rRNA from 1 species
AUUGAACGCUAGCGGGAUGCUUUACACAUGCAAGUCGAACGAGUGGCGGACGGGUGAGUAAUAUAUCGGAACGUGCCCCGUAGCGGGGGGUAACUACUCGAAAGAGUGGCUAAUACCGCCUACUAUUGGAGCGGCCGAUCUCGGAUUAGCUAGUUGGUGGGGUAAAGGCUCACCAGGGCAACGAUCCGUAGCUGGUUUGAGAGGACGACCGGCCACACGGGAACUGAGACACGGCCCAGACUCCUACGGGAGGAAGCGGUGGGGAAUUUUGGACAAUGGGGGAAACCCUGAUCCGGCCAUCCCGCGGGUAUGAGAAGGCCUUCGGGUUGUAAAGUACUUUUGGCAGGGAGGCGGUAUCGGCAGAAUAAGCACCGGCUAACUACGUGCCAGCAGCCGCGGUAAUAC